CUCCACUAUAGUGUACCAAUGGUGAUGAAUGCGAUGCCAGUAAUCCUUAAAACACGAGCAUAGAUGGUCAUCCACAGCUCACCGCACGUAAUCAUACUGAAAAUCAACAAUAUCAAAUACAGCCUGUCAAUAACAAAUAUUAUAAGAAUACAAUAUUAAUUAAAUAUUUUAUUAAGUACUAUUUAAUCUGUAAGUGGCUAUAGAAGAUCUCUUUUUGAGCCAGUGUAAUGUGACGCC
rnacentral:lncRNA from 1 species